UCUUUGUUUGAUUGUGGUUGUCUUUUAAAGGUCUUGCUAUACCACUCAGGCUGGCUUCAAACUUCUGGGUUCAGGUGAACCUCCUGCCUCAGCGUCUCAAGUAGCUAGGACUACAGGAAUAUAUCACUGUGUGACCAAUUAGAGGCAUACCAUAUUUUAAGGACUUCUGAAGUCAUUAUGCUUUGAAAUACUUCUCACACAUUUCUUUGGACUUAAAAAUCAUGAACAGACCUCUCACAAACCAGUUAAAAUAUACAAAUAUGUUGUGUCACGUGGGUUGUGUAGGUAUUUGUUAAAUUAAAACAGUCUCACCAGUAACAGACUGAUUUUUAUCAGUUUCCUUUGACACAUCUUAUACUCUUCCCUUGGGUUAAAGGUAAAACCCAAGAAUAACACCUUUUUGACACCGAAGGAUAUUCAAGCCAGAGGGAUGCAGUGUUGUCCAAGGGAAAUCUGUACUUGCUGAGCAACAUGGAAAGGUGUCCUGUUAAGAGAGAGGACUAUCUUUUUAUAGUGUCUUUAUGUGAACUCCUUGGUCUUGGGAAGGGCGACUGAAGGAAAGAUGUAUUUUUAUAGCCAAGACAUGGAGAGUUUCUAGGGUAUUAAUUUGAAUCUCAUGAUGCAUAUCCAUGAACAAAUUACAUAGUAGCAUUUAUGGCUGUUUCAAGUAUAAUAGCUUUAGUUUUGUGAAUAACAAUUUAAUUUAAAGGCUUGAUGCUACAAUUGGUAGGUUUUUAAUUUUCCCAACUAGACCACAAGCAACUUUAAUGACUUGAUGCCACCAAUCUAAUUUUAGAAUUAACAGGAAAUACAAGUACAUCAUCUUACCCUCCACCAGGGGGAGCUUCAGUAUCAUAUGAUGCUUCUACCAGCAUUUCCUUACAAAGAGUCAUGGAGUUUACAACUUAAUUAGGCAAAAAAUAUACACAAAAUUUUGAGAAGGUAUGAAUACCAUUAACUUAAUGCAUUGUAGCCACUUAUUUUUCUUAAUGUUUGGAGAAACAGUGGCUGCUAGCAUGUAACUGCCAUCUCCCCGCAGCUCUGAACUCGCCUUGGUCUGCCAUCCUCAUCUGCCGUCAUCAGAGACCUCCUUUUUCUCCUCAAUAAGACCGUCUCCUUUUCUGAAGUUGUAAUGUACUUUUUUGUCUACUUCAUUAAAACAAGUGAUUUUGAGUCAUUUUUUUCUCUCUGUAAGAAUAGUAAUAAAACAUAC
rnacentral:lncRNA from 1 species